GCGAACGACGUGCAAGCAUGCGUGGGAAAACGGGGGGGGCAAGCGUUAACCGGAGUGACUGGGUUUAAAGGGUGCGGAGGCGGGUAUGUAAGUCCGUUGUGAAAUUUCCGGGCUUAACUCGGAAACGGCCGUGGGUACUGCGUAUCUUGAAUGUUGUGGAGGUGAGCGGAAUAUGUCAUGUAGCGGUGAAAUGCUUAGAUAUGACAUAGAACACCAAUUGCGAAGGCAGCUCACUACACAAAUAUUGACGCUGAGGCACGAAAGCGUGGGGAUCAAACAGGAUUAGAUACCCGUGUAGUC
rnacentral:rRNA from 1 species